UACGGAGGGUGCAAGCGUUGUUCGGAAUCACUGGGCGUAAAGGGCGUGUAGGCGGUCCGCUAAGUCUGAUGUGAAAGCCCGAGGCUUACCCUCGGAAGUGCAUUGGAGACUGGCGGACUUGAGUCCCGGAGAGGAGGGUGGAAUUCCCGGUGUAGCGGUGAAAUGCGUAGAUAUCAGGAGGAACACCGGUGGCGAAGGCGGCCCUCUGGACGGUGACUGACGCUGAGACGCGAAAGCGUGGGGAGCAAACAGG
rnacentral:rRNA from 1 species